CAAAGCCAGACAGAGAUCGGUAUUGAUCAACAAAGGAUCAAUUAUCAGGUUUAGAGCAGAUGUCCAGUUUAUAUGGUCGUUAAGUCAGAGGUCGCUACCUUGCAUACACAGUGUCCAAAUAUCCAGUAUUUGAUGAUGAAUCUUCUGGGGAGGAAAUAAAGCUUAUUCAUCCAAAUCACACACUCAAAGUGAUGCUGGAAAGUUUAGCAAUUACAGUCCUGAAAAUAGCCAACCAAUUGCAGUGCUGAUAACAACCAAACAAUACCAGUCCUGAAAAUAGCCAACCAAUAACAGUGCUGAUAACAACCAACCAAUACCAGUGCUGAUAACAACCAACUAACUACAGUGCUGAUAACAACCAACCAGUAACAGUGCUGAUAACAACCAACCAAUUACAGUGCUGAUAAUUACCAUCAAACAACACUUGGGCAAAAGCAUUUUGAAUGUAUCACCUAUGACUCAUUCAGAACAUGUAG